UCCCUGGUGGUCCAGUGGUUAGGACUCUGAGCUUCCACUGCAGAAGGCAGGGGUUUGAUCCCUGGUCAGGGAA
rnacentral:tRNA from 1 species